GUCGAGCGCGCGUGCGCGCGGAGGAGCUCGGCGGCCUGGGCAGUUCUCCGCGCGCUUUGGCCUCGCGCCGGGGCCGCCGCCCCUCCCCCACCCGGCUCGCUGGCUCCCUCACCCUCUCACCCGCCGCCUCCGCCCGCCGCCUCCGAGGGGGAGAGGUCUUGCCGCCGCCGCUGCUCGAGCUCCCGAGUCCCUCGGGCCUGGGGCCGCCGCCUCGCCUCGCCGGUCCGCCCGCCUCAGCCGACGCCGACGCCUCCUCGCUUCCUCAGGGGCCGCAACGGGCUCCAACUGCGCCACUCGCACCCCGCCUGGGCCGCGCUGCACGUCAGCACGACUAACUGCGUGCGUCAGCACGCAAACGCGCGUCGCGGGGCCUGCCGGGAACUGGAGUGCGCCCCGCGGCCUUUUGCGCAGGCGCCGAAGCCACACCGCGAAGUACCGUUUUUUCAGGCACAAGGAAGGUUUCACCCCGUUGCCGAAAGACUAAGCGUCCCGUUGGCCAGUGCAACGAAGAACGGAGGAAGCGACGUAAGACACCGCGUAUUCGUAGGCCUUCCGCUGCGGGGAGGAGCACAGGGCCUAGCGGCAGCAAAGCGACGCCCGAGCGCGUCUCGUCUCCCGCUGUCGAUGCAGAGCAUUCUGGGAGUUGUGGUUCGGGCGUGUCGCGGAGCCCGGAUGUAAUUUCGGCUCGGGGCGUGGCGGCCAUUUUGUCUCCCCAUGUUGGGAGACGAUAUCCCAGCCGCGGUGGUGCUGCCGCUUUCGUGUGACUUUGGGUUUCCCGAGCGAGCCCGCAGCUGCACAGCAGUCCGCCUUCCCGUACCCGAGAGAAGCCGCCUCAGACCCCAGCCAGCGGGCACCCCCGGAGGCCCCGAGCCUGGCUGCAGGCCCUAGACCUGCACCAGGGGCCCAACCAGUUACCCGUAGCAUGGGCCACGUUCUCCCGCUGUAGACCGGGCUGAGGCCCGACGGCCACCCCUGGGGGAGGAGUUUUCUUAGCUUCCGGUAGGGCAGCCAGGCCGGGGUCCCACCAGACCCAGGACGUGAUACCGGUGAAGCGGCACAUACAGGAACAAGGCAGGAGGAAAAUAAUAAGCACCUUAAAGUUUCCACUUUUCGGUACCGUACUUCCUGUUAAUGUUUCUAAGCCCGUGAUUCUGGGCCUGAUAAUCAGCCAGCCGUCCUCACAGCAGAGUUGUAAGACGCUGGGCUGCUCAAGCACAAGUUCAUAUCUAGACCCACCGCUGGCGAGCAGCCCUGGACGUCCCGCUUAGCUGUCCUAACCAACUCAGGUGGCCUUGAUCCGCAACAGGACGCGGUACCACGUAAUGAACUGUCCAUUUGAGUGCAAGGAUUUAUAUUUGUUAUUACGAUUUGGGGGUGUUUUUAAGAGGCAGGGUUUUGCCCAGGCUGUUCUCGAAUUUGGGGCUCAAGCGAUCCUCCGACCUCAGCCUCCCAAGUAGCUGGGACUACCCGUGCAUGACACCCUAUCUGGCCCUUGUUUUUUGUUGUUGUUGUUGUUCUUUCUUUUUUCACGUGGUUUCGCACUUGUCACCCAGGCUGGAGUGCAAUGGUGUGUUGUCGGCUCACUGCAACCUGUCUCUCAGGUUGAAGUGAUUCUCGUGUCUCAGUCUUCCGAGUAGCUGGGAUUACAGGCGUGUGCCACCACGCCUGGCUAAUUUUUGUAUUUUUAGUAAAGACGGGGCUUCACUAUAUUGGUCAGGCUGGUCUCGAUUUCCUGACCUCAGGUGAUCUGCCCACCUCAGCCUCCCAAAGUGCUGAUAUUACAGGCGUGAGCCACCACGCCCGGCCCGUAUCCGGCUUUAAGAUUUGUUUUUCACUUGCCCGUGGGAGGAUGUACUUAUCUCAGAUGCUAGAGCCGGGAGACCCUCCCCCCCACCACCCCCAUCUCCUGCAGGAGCUCUGAUCGCAGAUUGGAGUGUCUGAACUCUGCAUCUAUGGACGGUGCUUCUGUAAGCCGGCCGCAACUCUGGAGUGGCAUAGUAAAGUGGCAAAGGCUUUGCCUUUCUGGUUAAAGACCCCAGCACCUCCAGUGAGACCCUUUCCUGUACCCCCACUGAUAUUCUUUAUGGAAUGUUUUGUGCGUGAGUCAGCACAUUUAAUGCCCGUGAAUAGUGACAAAACAUGGUUUGCAGUACCCUAAUGACUGAUGAUGCUGAGAAUCUUUUGAUGUGCUUGUUGGCCGUUUGUACAUCUUUGGAGAAAUUUCUCUUCGUGUCUUUUGUCUAUUUUAUUUUUUUGGGACAGAGUCUCACUCCUAACCCCGGGCUGGAGUGCAGUGGCACGAUCUCCACGCACUACAAUUCUUGUACCUCAGCCUCCCAAGUAGCUGGGAUUACAGGCGCACGCCACCACCCAGCUCAUUUUUUUAUUUUUAGUAGAGGUGGAGUUUUUUGUAGAGAUUGUGUCUCCCUGUGUUGCCCAGGCUGGUCUUGAACUCCUGGGCUCAAACUGUCCUCCCCCCUUAACCUCCCAAAGUGCUGGGAUUACAGGUGUGAGCCAUGGCACCCAGCCCUAGAAUGAUUUUUUAGUUUCCCUUUAAACUUUAUUUUUUUAUUCACUGUAGUGUGGUGGACGGUGGUGCCCCAAAACUUCACAACCACCUAGACAUUCGGAAGGUGACCUUAUUUGGAAUAAGAGAUUUUGCAGAUGUAAUUGAGUUAAAGAUCUGAAGAUGAAAUCAUCAUGAAUUUAGGGUAGGCCGUAAAUCCAAUGACUGACAUCCUUACAAGAAGACAAGAGGACACAGGCACCCGGGGGAAGAGGCCGUAGGAGACCCAGGCAGAGAUUCGGAGCGGUGCCCAUGCCAGGGAUCUCCAGGAGGAGCCAGAAGCUGGGAGAGGCCCUGCAGAUCCUCUCCCAGAGCCUUUGGAGGAGGCACAACCCUGUCCACACCUUGGUCUCCACUUUCUGGCCUCCAGAGCUGUAGGGGAACCCACUUCUGUGGUUUGAAGCCACCAAGUUCGUGGUGACUUAUGGCAGCCCUAGGAAAGUGACAUGCACAGAAGAUUUCAGUUUGUAAGUAGUGAGAGCAAUGAUCUUGGCUUUGCAUGGUGCUCAGGAAGCCUUCCCCGCUCCCAAACCAGAAAGGAAUCCAUCCAGAUUUUCCUCCACUGUCUGGAUGGCCGCUCUGUGGAUGCUUCCAUCUGUAUCCAUUGCCGGCACCUGGUGAGGUCCAAGUCUCACCUCCUCCAGAAGGCCUCCCAGGACUGCUGGCCCCAGACACAGAACUCCCAAGGGAAGGCUCUUCCACUAAAAGUCCAGCUGCAGCGAUAAUGAUGAGUUUGGAGAGGGCUGCAGACCCUGAGGCAGGGGUUGGUGCAGGGGCUGGACCUGAAACUGGGUUCACACAACAAGCUCGGACUCCUCUUAACACUCCUGAUUGGUGACAUUAUGGGGUCUUGGAUGCCUCCUCCUCUCUGUCCCUCGUACUGCCCCUGCCACCUGGGACUCCACCAAGUUCCUUCUCCACCAGCCAUGAGGAGAGCCUGCCCAGGGGCCAGCACUCUCUCCCUGAGCCUUAGAACCAGGAGGAUUCUCACUGCUUCUAUGUCACAGUAGGUAAAAAACACAUAAAAUAAAAUGAAAUAUCAUGAUCACCUGAGAAGAAAGUUCAGAGUAGGCCCGUAUCACGUGUUUCCAGAGAAUCCACAGCUUCCCUAUGAAGCCAUUGCUGGCAUAGGGAAGGGUGGGGCCAGGAAACAGCCGCUAUCCAGCCCCUCCAGGUUGACUCAAGUCAGAGUGUGUGGGGGCCAGUCAUGGAACAGAGGGAGCCUCCUGCCCAGGGCAAGCGUGGGGAGACCACCAGGGGCCCCAGACAGGUGAGCCGCUCCAGCAGGGACAGCACAGGUGGUGCAUGGUCGGGGCUGGACAUCGGGGUUAGUCGGCAAGGAUGAGGAGUCUCUGGGGAUGGAGGCUGAGGCUUGGGGUUCUCAGGCAAGGGCAGGCCUAGGUGCAGCAGAGAAUUGUUUGGAGGGAGGAAAUCAAGCUUUCCUUCUAGAAAGGGUGACAGGGACCAAAGGGAGAGGGCAGGGACAGCCCCUGGAAAGGGCAGGUGAGGAAGGUGAGGCUGGAGGGGACCCAAGAAGGGAUCCUGGGGAGGUAGUGGCCAAGAGCAGGGUGAGGGCCAGGCCGCACCUUUCGCUGUACCCAGCUCUCCCUGGGGUGGCCCUGGCCCUGCUCUGCUGUCCCCUGCAGGACAGGUGCCUCAGGCUUGUCCCAGCUUGUCCUACAGCAGGUCCUCAGCACCCACAGGUCCUGCCUUGGGCUCUGCAGAAGCAGGGAGUGGUGAGGUCAGGACCCUGGGCCACAGAAGAAAUGGUCUGGGGGACAAGGACGGGGGUUGGGGGACUGACAGCUGUUUUCUGAAGGCCCGGGGAGUGGAGGAGAGGGGUGAGGGGCCAAGGCUUGGGGCUCAGUAUGGGGGCAGCUGCAGGGGGUGAGGGGGCCAGUGGGGCCAGUGAAGAGGGCCUAGGGUCUGGUAUCUGCAGCAGGCACUCACAGAGGACAGACUGUUUGCAAGGUAGGUCAGGUGACAGGGAGCCAGGGGGGCUGAGGAGGCUCAGGGCCUGACUCCAGGGAGAGCAGUUGCCAUCCCCCAGGUCCAGAGGGGCCCUGGGAGGAGUCCAGGCAGGGCUGAAGCUGGAAGAAGUAAGAGGGGCUGGCACUCAAGGACUGCAGCCACUGGCCAGGUGGGGCCAGGUCGGACCGGCUGCCUUCCCUGGUCUCAGCCCCAGCCUUCUGUGGCUGCCUCCCCCAUCGGAGCCAUCAGAGAGCAGGAUGUGGGAGGGGCAGGUGAAGGACAGCCUCUGUGAUAGUCCCUGGUGUGCUGCAGCCUGGGGUGAGGGGCCUUGGGGAUGGGAAGGGCUGGGAGCUGGGAGACGAUGGCUCCCAGCACUUGGUCCUGAGGGGCCUUGGAGCAGCUUCCCCCAGGCCUGCAGAGGCAACUUCUGACACUCGGGGAGCUGAGGCCAAGGGAAGGCUCCCCAGACACAAGGAGAAGGGGCUGGGGGCAGCCAGAAGGCUUUGGGCUACCCUCCCUGGAGGCUCAGGUCCCAGGUGACCCCUCCAGCUGUGUUCCUUCCAAGAUUGGGACCUGCAAAGAUUGCAGAUGUGAGGAAAGGAAGGUGUCUUGGGCAUUCUUCCCAGUGUGGCUGAGCUGUGCCUGUGAGGACAUGCAGACACUCAGAGGACCUGUCCUCAGGGGCCCCAGGGUGAAGGUCAAGAUCUCACCUUACAACCAGCCGGGCCCUGACUACUUCCAGCCACCAGGCCCCCAGGACAGGAGCAGGACAGUGGUUAUUUCCCCAGUGGACGGGGGGCUCCAGGUCACAUAAGAAUAACAUGCCCUGUGACAAGGCGUGGGGAUGAAAAUGCUUCCCCCUGGGCUGAGAUUCCAGGACACCUGAGAUGGGGGGACCCCGGCCACAUGUUUAGAGCUCUCAGGGAACCUGGAGGGCCCCUCAGCCUCUGUUCCCCUACUGGGGAGAACAGAGGCCUGGUGGUAGCAAUUUCAGGGAACUCAGAGAAACACUGUUCCCCAGACCUUGGAGCUCCCUCUGUGCCUGGCUCUCACUGUGAGGCCCCCCACCAGCUGGUCCUGCUCAGGGAGCCUCCACGUGUCCCCCUGGUUCCUCCGGCCAGCCUAGGGGUGGAGGGUGCGGUCCCCAUGGCCUGUAGGAAGUAGGGCUCAGAGGGGCAAAGUCACCGCCCUGAGGUCACCAGGAGGUCCCGGCAGAGGGGGUUGGGGCCUGGCUCAGGGCCUGUUCUCCCUGCUGAGCUCAGUGGGAUGGGGCCAUCUCAAGGGUCCCACUGUUUUUCUCUGGUCUCUGCCCCAGCAUGUGGUGGGACCUUGAUUUCCAUACUCUCAUGUCACCAGUCUGUUGGGGGGCAGAGGUUAUGGGGUCACUGAUAUCACCUGGCUCAUUCCUCCCCCAUCCAGGCUGUCCCAUGAGAAUGUCUAAUCUGUAUGUCAUCGGAGUCAAUAAUGUGUUUUGCUAUCGCUCUGGUUCCAGGGAUAUUGCUCAGCCAAAGGGCCAGCAUCCCAGUGAAGAAGAUCAGAAAGAGGCUUCCGAUUCCGUCUCUAGAGCCUUUGAGGUCACUCCUGACGCUGACAUGGCUGUGAAGAGCUGGGUGCCAGGCAUUACUGCCUCCAAGGUUGCUUUGCGAGGAAUAGGUGGGGCAUCAGGAAGAAGCCAGUUGCAGGCAAGGCCUCUGCUGAUGCUGCUUUUUUCUCCUGUACCCAUCCAUGGGAGGGAGCUGUGAGAUGGCCUGGCAGAACCCGCUCUUGGACCCCACAGAAUGAGAGGCUCACCCUGCACAGGAACAUCCUGGGGCAGCAGGCUCAGCACAUUUUAAAUUUUGAGUAUGAACAAAGUAAACUUCAGGGUUAAAAAAAAACACAAA
rnacentral:lncRNA from 1 species